rnacentral:SRP_RNA from 1 species
GCUGGGCAUGGUGAUGCAUGCCUGUAGUCUCAGCUACUUGGGAGGCUGAGCUGGGAGGAUCACCUGAGCCUGGGAGGUCGAGGCUGCAGUGAGCAGAGAUUGCGCCACUGCACUCCAGCCCAGGCAAUAGAGCAAGACCCUAUCUCAA